GGAAUUUGGGAAUUCCGUUUACGCCGUUGCGUAGAGCACGGCGAAACGAGUUCGUAGACACGGAGUAGACCCGAAUCGGAGUUGUAACGAAGGAGUUAUGGUCAAAAGAGUCUCAGUGGCAGAACUGUAAAUAUUUCGAAGUUGAAUUAAUAAAAAGAAAAUCUGUCAGCUCUCUCUCUCUCUCUCUCUCUCUCUCUCUCCCUCCCGAUAGUUUCAGAAACCCAUUCGGGCAGCCCCAUUCCAAGCCACCCCCAACGCCGCCUCAAGCCACCCCGACCCUCCGGAACGGACCCAGCAGCACCGGCCAGCUCCCGCCAUCAACCUCAGCCCGUCCGCCGCCCCUGCUGCUGUCUGGAGCCGCUGGAAAACGCAGCAGUUUUGGCCGAUUUUCCAACUUCAGUUUCUCCCUCAUCCGGCCACCAAAUCAGUCGUGUGAGGCAUCAGAGGCCAAACUGAACCACAGGAGGGACCUUCAAGAGGUCCAGCUAGCUCGGACCAGCAGCAGUCGAGUGUGCAGGAAUCCACCACCAGGCCAUCUCCUAGCUCCCACGCUAUUUCCAAGCUGUAGGAUUUCUUGUAACCUACUUAAAUUCUUGUAAACAAUUAGUAACUGCUCUGAUAUCUGGUUGGAAUAGAUAACCAGAACUGGUGAGUAUUUAGUUACCCUUUUCUGGCAGUUGGUGUGGAUUUAUCAGUUUGUUUGACAGGUGGAAAAAUUUGGGUUUAGUCAAAUUACAGGGGAGUCUCUGCCGAAAUUAAAGCAGGAGUCCAGAGAAAGUUUUAACCAUAUUUAUAUCCAGGAAGGGUAAAGAGGUCAUUGUGCCCGACAAUUGCCAGGUGUCGGACACGCACAGGGCUUGGCUCGAAUUCCAAAGCGAAAAUUGGGUCGGGUCUUGUCAAAAUAAGUAUAGACCCAUGUCAAUGUGCUGUAAAAAGGGAUAGAACCAUUACAUAAUGUGUACAACAUAAUAUUAUAAAAACCAUAUGGUUCCAAAAAUAAACAACUCAUGUUUAAGCUACAACAGUUUUCGUAGC